UACGAAGGGGGCUAGCGUUGCUCGGAAUUACUGGGCGUAAAGCGCACGUAGGCGGAUUGUUAAGUCGGGGGUGAAAUCCUGGAGCUCAACUCCAGAACUGCCUUCGAUACUGGCGAUCUCGAGUCCGGAAGAGGUGAGUGGAACUCCUAGUGUAGAGGUGGAAUUCGUAGAUAUUAGGAAGAACACCAGUGGCGAAGGCGGCUCACUGGUCCGGUACUGACGCUGAGGUGCGAAAGCGUGGGGAGCAAACAGG
rnacentral:rRNA from 1 species